CGGAUUACUGGGCGUAAGCGCGCGUAGGUGGCUUGAUAAGCCGGUUGUGAAAGCCCCGGGCUCAACCUGGGAACGGCAUCCGGAACUGUCAGGCUAGAGUGCAGGAGAGGAAGGUAGAAUUCCCGGUGUAGCGGUGAAAUGCGUAGAGAUCGGGAGGAAUACCAGUGGCGAAGGCGGCCUUCUGGACUGACACUGACACUGAGGUGCGAAAGCGUGGGUAGCAAACAGGAUUAGAUACCCUGGUAGUCCACGCCGUAAACGAUGUCGACUAGCCGUUGGGUCCUUCGCGGACUUUGUGGCGCAGUUAACGCGAUAAGUCGACCGCCUGGGGAGUACGGCCGCAAGGUUAAAACUCAAAUGAAUUGACGGGGGCCCGCACAAGCGGUGGAGCAUGUGGUUUAAUUCGAUGCAACGCGAAGAACCUUACCUACCCUUGACAUCCUCGGAAUCCGCCAGAGAUGGCGGAGUGCCUUCGGGAACCGAGAGACAGGUGCUGCAUGGCUGUCGUCAGCUCGUGUUGUGAAAUGUUGGGUUAAGUCCCGUAACGAGCGCAACCCUUGUCCCUAUUUGCCAGCGAUUCGGUCGGGAACUCUAGGGAGACUGCCGGUGACAAACCGGAGGAAGGUGGGGACGACGUCAAGUCAUCAUGGCCCUUACGGGUAGGGCUACACACGUGCUACAAUGGUCAGUACAAAGGGUUGCGAACUUGCGAGAGUGAGCCAAUCCCAGAAAGCUGAUCUCAGUCCGGAUCGGAGUCUGCAACUCGACUCCGUGAAGUCGGAAUCGCUAGUAAUCGUGAAUCAGAAUGUCACGGUGAAUACGUUCCCGGGCCUUGUACACACCGCCCGUCACACCAUGGGAGUGGACUGCACCAGAAGUGGUUAGCCUAACCUUCGGGAGGGC
rnacentral:rRNA from 1 species